rnacentral:rRNA from 14 species
AAAGGAUGUGGAGUUGCGUAGACAACCAGGAGGUUGGCUUGGAAGCAGCCAUCCUUGAAAGAGUGCGUAAUAGCUCACUGGUCAAGUGAUUCCGCGCCGACAAUGUAGCGGGGCUCAAGCACACCGCCGAAGCCGUGACAUUCACACAUCGCCCGACUUAGGUCCAGGCGUGUGGAUGGGUAGGGGAGCGUCGUGUGGCGAGUGAAGUCGCGGGGUGACCCAGCGGUGGACGCCACACGAGUGAGAAUGCAGGCAUGAGUAGCGAAAGACGGGUGAGAAACCCGUCCGCCGGAUGACUAAGGGUUCCAGGGUCAAGCUAAUCUGCCCUGGGUAAGUCGGGACCUAAGGCGAGGCCGACAGGCGUAGUCGAUGGACAACGGGUUGAUAUUCCCGUACCGGCGAA